rnacentral:rRNA from 1 species
GACGAACGCUGGCGGCGUGCUUAACACAUGCAAGUCGAACGGAAAGGCCCUGCUUGCAGGGCACUCGAGUGGCGAACGGGUGAGUAACACGUGGGUGAUCUGCCCUGCACUUCGGGAUAAGCCUGGGAAACUGGGUCUAAUACCGGAUAUGACCUUCCAUGUAGUGUGGGGGGUGGAAAGAUUUAUCGGUGUGGGAUGAGCCCGCGGCCUAUCAGCUUGUUGGUGGGGUAAUGGCCUACCAAGGCGUCGACGGGUAGCCGGCCUGAGAGGGUGGACGGCCACAUUGGGACUGAGAUACGGCCCAGACUCCUACGGGAGGCAGCAGUGGGGAAUAUUGCACAAUGGGCGGAAGCCUGAUGCAGCGACGCCGCGUGGGGGAUGACGGCCUUCGGGUUGUAAACCUCUUUCGACAGGGACGAAGCUUCGGUGACGGUACCUGUAUAAGAAGCACCGGCUAACUACGUG